rnacentral:rRNA from 1 species
UACGUAGGUGGCAAGCGUUGUCCGGAUUCACUGGGCGUAAAGCGCGCGCAGGCGGUCUUCUACGUCUGGGGUGAAAACCCGGGGCUCAACCCCGGGACUGCCUUGGAUACGGGAAGACUUGAGGAUCGGAGAGGCAAGGGGAAUUCCACGUGUAGCGGUGAAAUGCGUAGAGAUCGGAAAGAACACCAACGGCGAAAGCACUCUGCUGGGCCGACACUGACACUGAGAGACGAAAGCUAGGGGAGCGAAUGGG